rnacentral:lncRNA from 1 species
AACGGAUUAAUGAACAGAGAAUGCUGUCUUCCAAAUCGACGCUUUUGAUUUUGUGGUUCCUCUUGUCUUUGCUCGCUGUUGGUGGUGUUGCAGAGAUAUGCCGAGGGACGCAUUGUUUUGGUUCAGAAACAGGGGAUCCCAGACCUUGCUCUGGACCUCACUGUCAAGUGCCACGGUCGCACAGACCAUCGCGCCAACACAACCCCACCACGCAGGUCCGAUCUUCACAGGUUGCCCCUUACCACCAGCCAACAUAUGAAAACACUCCAUCACUAAGUUCUGCCUCAGAUCCUCAAACAGCUCAGCAGCCUGAGCGGGACAGAUUCGCAGAUGUAGACCCGGAUGGCGCACGGACAGUGGUGUCUGAGGGAUUCGGACCAGGUUGCACGGGAUCGGAUUGUCAUAGCCCGCAGAGACGUCUUCAACCUGCCAAUGACACCAGGGAUUGCAAAGGGAUCGAGUGCAAACUGCCUCUUAGGAUACGACUCAAGCCUCGAACGAGACCAUGUGUGGAAGAUGGAUGCCAGUCUGGCAGUGAUGAUGAUGUUGCCGCCGCCACAAACCAUCCGACUCUCAUCCACAUGCCAGACCGAGCCGCCCAGUUUCUAGGAGACUUGCCUGACUUGCCUGACUUAGGAAAUCCCGUGUCUGACCAGGCAAGCGCCCCUCUGGGCGUUCAACUUACCUGCGACAUCAAGCCAGGGGAGAACGAGGUGCCAUCUGAAGAUGCCCUCAUCCUGCACCUGCAGCUGGCCAAGGGGCAGGAGAAGCUGGUGGAGGCGCUUCGCUCGCAGCAGACUCUGAUCAGCGACCUGCAGCAGCAGCUGGCCAACCAACAGGGGGCGCUGUUAGCCCAGCAGCGGGAGAUCCUGGACCAGCAGCGCCGCAUGUACGAGCAGAUGGACGUGGUCAAGGCCCAGUACGGCCUGCUCGCCGAGACCCUCAAGCAGGCCUCCUUCCAGGGCCUGCAGGGGGAGCUCCAGAGCUACUUCGAGAGCCACCUGGCCGGCCUCCAGAGUCAGGCCCGCAGCCACCUGCACAAGUCGUACGCCGUGCACAAGGUGGACGUGGACGCCAAGGUCAUGGACAUCCCCGGGGACACGGCACCGCAGCACCACCUGCCCACCCUCUCCCACCCCGGACGCCGCCCGCACCACCCCAUCCUGACCUGCCUGUCUCCCUGUGGCCCGGAGGAGUACUGCGCCUUCCAGAGGGACCCCCCCAGCUGUGAGAGCUGCACCAUGUGCCCACCAGGCUUCUUCCUGGUGACUCAGUGCACUCCCACAGCUGACCGGCUCUGCCAGGACAGGGAUGAAUGCCUUGAAUUACCAACUGUGUGUGGGGAGCGAGUGAAAUGUCUUAACACUCCAGGGGGCUUCCGAUGCCUGGGCGUGUCUGAGAGAGAGGCAUCUGCUGGGCUCUGCGGUCGCAACUAUUUCUACAACCAGGAGCUGCAAGAGUGCCAGGCCUGCUCGGACUGCGACGGGGCGCCCAUCGCCUUGCCCUGCACGACCACCAGCGAUGCCGUGUGUGGAGCCCUCUCCGACAACCGCCUGUCCCAGGUCUGGAGUGCAGCUUCCAGCCUACCCUCAGCCAAGUCCAAGGCUGGCCAGCAGAUCUUCCCUGGGCUCCAGCUCAGCGUCCACGGUGGGGAGGCCUCUGACCUCCUGUCCAGCCAGGACGGACGGCUCACGCUGAAGCAGCACGGGCUGCUGUGGGUGGACCUCAACCUGGCUGUGAAGCACAGCUGCAGGAACUACCUCCAGGUGGGGGUUAGGCUGAAUGGCAGUGAAGAGGAGGUCCAGGAGCUGAGCAGUGUACGGUUGGAGCAGCCUGAGAGGAAACGCUUCCAGGGUGUGAGUGUGAGUGUGGCUCUGGAGGUGGAGCCUAACUACACCGUGUCUCUCUUCCUGCGGAGCCCCAACCAGCACUGCAACCAGAGCCGUGACCUGCAGGCCUAUGACCUGAGCGGCCCCUCCCUCAGCCUGCUCUGGCUCUCCCACGACACGGGCGCCGUCGCCAUGACGGCACACAUGACCACCGCCACCGCCCACUACCAGACCAGCUACCGGCCGUCGUUCCGCGUCACCACCGUGUCGGACCCGUACAUGCUGGCGCUGACACACGACGGGCGUGGUGUGCGCUUCACCGAAGCCGGCGUGGUGAAGUUCAUCCUGCAGCAGGCCCUCUAUGCCAUGGGCCACACGUGUGUGCGCGAGGGCUUCUCGCUGGUCGCCUACGUCACACACAAUGGGAGCAGCGCAGAGGUGGCACGAGCCUUCAAGCCAGGGGUCAACUACCGCGACACGUCGGUCACGCUGUCCGCCGCUACCCAGGUGGCGGCCGGAGAUGCGCUCAGCUUCGAGCUGCUCUCGCCGGCCCAGUGCAGCGUCAGGUACUUCGGGGACAGUUCGGGCAUCAGCAUCCUCAGUGUGAUCUGGAUCCCGCCGGCUGCGUCGUGCACGCUAGCGGCCGGUGUGGCUCGGGCUGGUCUCCCAUCAGGCGCCGUACGGAACAAGGCUCUCCUCUUCCAACAGAUUGAUGUGGAACCGGAAGGUUCCCCUCCAAAGCAGGUUCGGCUGUCUGGCAUAGGUGACGCCCAUCCUGGGCGGAACUUUGUUUUUGAGGAGGAGGGUACAGUCAACGUGGCACUGACCCUAAAGCUCAUCCACUCGUGUAGCGCUGUCAAGCUGACCCUUUACAGGCAAGGCGCCGGGGGGCAGAAGGGGCAAGUGAGGGGGCAUGGGGGCGCAUCUCCGCUGGCACAGCAGGUCAGCGGGCACAUACCCGAUGGUAGCGAGUGGGCCAGUGUGUGCCUCCGUACUUCCUUCGCUGUCCAGAACGGCACGGCUGUCUACGUCACGCUGGACUGCGUACGCGGGCGCAUCAACCAGAUCAGCCAGGAGGGCGGCCCGAACGUGUCUAUCCUCUGGGUGGCGCUGUGAUUGGGAGAGAACAUGAGAGGUGUUUGCAUGGAUUGUUGUUUACCUGAAAAUAUUUACAGGUUUUUCCACAACUGUUGUAAACCUGAAACAGACAGAAAACCUUUUCCUCAGACAUUCUGAGAUGUGUUAAUGACGUAGCACAGGUGCUAUAUGGAUAAAUCUAUCUCCAUACAUGUAUGUGGUUUUUAGUAGUAGAUUAUUAACUUAUACAUUUUGUUACUUUGUUGUCAGUGUGCCACUUUUGAGUUAUAUGAUUUCAGUGGUAUGUAUUAGUACAUGUCUCUCCUGAUUCCAGGGGCAAUGGUGUUUUUAUAUAUUGACAAAAGUACUCAAAGCACUCGAGUACUUCGGCUGGUUGACCAGAGACCAAUUUUUCCUUAGAUUGAGCUUACAGUUUUCUGUGUUUGAUUUUCAUUCCUGUCAAACGUGUAUGUGUGUGUGUGUGUGUGUGUGUGUGUGUGUGUGUGUGUGUGUGUGUGUGUGUGUGUGUGUGUGUGUGUGUGUGUGUGUGUGUGUGCUUGUGUGUAUGUGUGCGCGCACGUACGUGUAUGAGUGCGAGUGAGUGUGUAUGUGUGUCACAUAAUAUUUUUUUCAGGUGUGCAGGAAAUAUUUGUUUGUCUGUCCAUUUUAGAAAAUGUUUCACAAAAUAUGUGCUUGACAGUUUGAGUCCAGAUAAGUUAUUUAUAACACUUACACUUAACUCUACAGAUACUCUAUGGCAUCUCCUACUAGUAGCCCUCUAAAACAAUUAGCAAACACAUAAAUCUGGCCCUUGAAUGUGGUUAUUCUUUCAAAAAUCUGUCCAAACAUAUAAACAUAUAUAUGCUAUCACACGUAUAAUUUUUUUGUAGUGAGGCAACAGGUCUGUCAAUUUCAGUUGGACGAAUCCCUGUAUUUAUAUGAAGUCUAUGCGUAUAUUCGUGCUGUGCAUAUAAGGCAUAUUUUCCUUUACUGUAAAUGACAUGAAUGAAAGUGCAUGAGAACAUGACACAUGCGUUUGACUGCAAAAUGCCUCUGAUUCCCAGUGGGGCCGUGUUAACUAUAUACUGCAUAUGGUUUGUGUUACCCUGAAAUGUCUAGUCUUGUGGAAAUGCUGCCUUAGCAUACCAUGUUUAAUUGCUUCUUUAUGGGCCGUAUUCUGCAAAACAAUUAGGAGAAAUGAAGUGUUUUAGAGAAUUGGCAGCAAUACAGUCACUGAAAUGUCUCCUGCUAUAUAACCACUUCCCAUAUGCAAAUGGUGAUUGAAUGAGUUCUAGUUAUUUCCUAAACCACAAGUGUAUCAGUGUUGGAGACAGACGGGCGUAGCCUAUAAAUGCAAAGAGAAUGAAUAAAACAUAUAUUUUCCUUACA